CCUACGGGAGGCAGCAGUGGGGAAUCUUGCGCAAUGGGCGAAAGCCUGACGCAGCCAUGCCGCGUGAAUGAUGAAGGUCUUAGGAUUGUAAAAUUCUUUCACCGGGGACGAUAAUGACGGUACCCGGAGAAGAAGCCCCGGCUAACUUCGUGCCAGCAGCCGCGGUAAUACGAAGGGGGCUAGCGUUGCUCGGAAUUACUGGGCGUAAAGGGAGCGUAGGCGGAUAGUUUAGUCAGAGGCGAAAGCCCAGGGCUCAACCUUGGAAUUGCCUUUGAUACUGGCUAUCUUGAGUAUGGGAGAGGUAUGCGGAACUCCGAGUGUAGAGGUGAAAUUCGUAGAUAUUCGGAAGAACACCAGUGGCGAAGGCGGCAUACUGGCCCAUUACUGACGCUGAGGCUCGAAAGCGUGGGGAGCAAACAGGAUUAGAUACCCUGGUAGUCCACGCUGUAAACGAUGAGUGCUAGUUGUCGGCAUGCAUGCAUGUCGGUGACGCAGCUACGCAUUAAGUACACUCCGCCGUCGGGGUAGGUACGGUCGGCGAAGAAUUAAAACCUUAACAAUAGAAGUUAGACGGCGUGAGACGUGCCGACGGACGACGACGAGGGAGGUUAGG
rnacentral:rRNA from 1 species